AGAGGUCUUCAGUAAGGUAUGGCCAAAUCACAGUCAUUUCUCCUCCAUUUUUCCAUCCCAUGAGGAUUUGGGGCACAGAUGCACACAUCACCUAGAAGAAUAUUUGAGUCAUUCAGAGGAUCAUGAAGAAGCUUUCAGAGAAAUGUACUCAAGGCUCAAAAGGCAAUGCAGGAGAACAAGGUGAUCCCGGUGGCAAAAGCAGAGUGGGAGGAACAGCCAGGGCACUGAGAGAGAUUUUCUCACUGAGAGAGAAACUGAGACCUUCUACCAACACCCAACACCAACUUGUCAGCCAUGUAGAAGAACCUAUGAUGACGGUAGCCCGAGUUGACACCGAAUGGCACCCUCAUGAGAUACCCAUAGCCAGAAUCACCUAGCCAAGCAACUCCUGAAGUCCUGAC